rnacentral:rRNA from 1 species
UACAGAGGCCACGAGCGUUAGGCGGAAUCACUGGGCUUAAAGCGUGUGUAGGUGGAUGAGUAAGUACCUUGUGAAAUCCCACGGCUCAACCGUGGAACUGCUUGGUAUGCUGCUUGUCUUGAGGCACUCAGGGGCGAGCGGAACAGAUGGUGGAGCGGUGAAAUGCGUAGAUAUCAUCUGGAACGCCAAUGGUGAAGACAGCUCGCUGGGGGUGUACUGACACUGAGACACGAAAGCCAGGGGAGCAAACGGG